rnacentral:tRNA from 1 species
GCGGAGGUUCCCAAGCUUGGCCAAAGGGGCAGGGUUCAGGUCCCUGUAGCGUAGGAAAUUUGUCCAGCGAUAAAUUUGCGCAAGCUUUCGUGGGUUCAAAUCCCACCCUCCGCA